AGUUUCGCCAUUGUCGUCCUCGGGCAAUAGCGAUGGCAGCGCGGCACUUGACACCGAUGUGUUUGAAGUAGAUGAGCUGACCCUGAUUGUCGGAGAACGUCAGUGAUGAAACUUC
rnacentral:miRNA from 1 species